rnacentral:rRNA from 1 species
AAUAAGCGCACAUGGUGGAUGCCUUGGCGAUAAGAGGCGAUGAAGGGCGUAGAAGUCUGCGAUAAGCGUAGGUUAGCUGACAAACGAGCUAUAACCCUGCGAUUCCCGAAUGGGGCAACCCACUUACCUUUGGUAAGUAUCCUUAAGUGAAUACAUAGCUUAAGGAGGCGAACCCGGCGAACUGAAACAUCUAAGUAGCCGGAGGAAAAGAAAUCAACCGAGAUUUUCCUAGUAGCGGCGAGCGAACGGGAAACAGCCUGCAAGUGAUAUUUAACGUUUUAGUGGAACAGUCUGGAAAGUCUGACGAUACAGGGUGAUAGUCCCGUACACGAAAAGGCGUUAUUGGUACUAAGCUUGCGACAAGUAGGGCGGGGCACGAGAAACCUUGUCUGAACAUGGGGGGACCAUCCUCCAAGGCUAAAUACUCCUGACUGACCGAUAGUGAACCAGUACCGUGAGGGAAAGGCGAAAAGAACCCCGUUGAGGGGAGUGAAAUAGAACCUGAAACCGUGUGCGUACAAGCAGUAGGAGCAGACUUGUUCUGUGACUGCGUACCUUUUGUAUAAUGGGUCAGCGACUUAUAUUUAGUAGCAAGGUUAAGUGAAUAACGGAGCCGUAGCGAAAGCGAGUGUUAACUGCGCGUUUAGUUGCUAGGUAUAGACCCGAAACCCGGUGAUCUAGCCAUGAGCAGGUUGAAGGUUGAGUAACAUCAACUGGAGGACCGAACCCACUAACUUUGAAAAGUUAGGGGAUGACUUGUGGCUGGGGGUGAAAGGCCAAUCAAACCGGGAGAUAGCUGGUUCUCCCCGAAAUCUAUUUAGGUAGAGCCUCGGACGAAUUCCAUUGGGGGUAGAGCACUGUUAAGGCUAGGGGGUCAUCCCGACUUACCAACCCUUUGCAAACUCCGAAUACCAAUGAGAACUAUCCGGGAGACACACGGCGGGUGCUAACGUCCGUCGUGGAGAGGGAAACAACCCAGACCGCCAGCUAAGGCCCCAAAAUCAAUACUAAGUGGUAAACGAUGUGGGAAGGCCCAAACAGCCAGGAGGUUGGCUUAGAAGCAGCCACCCUUUAAAGA